UCGGACGAUCAGGCCGAACCCAGAGCGCGCAUGCCCCCUUCGUGUCCCUUGUCCUAAGUUAAUGAGUAAACUUUGGUUAGGACGUUUGGCUUGUGAUAUUUCGGUGGCGGACACCCAACGUCUUAACCUUCACUUAAACUUAGUUCUGCAGAUCCAGCACCGGGACAGAGCCUCUCUCUUCUGACGACAUGCCCAGCUGUAUCACAGAGGAGAGUGUUAAGUCAGAACAGCGAUCUCCAGGCUGACAGAGGGGAACGACUACCAAAAUGACCUUCCAAAGGACGGCCACCUCUGUAAUGCUGUGAUACAGUGGUAACAUAGGAAAAUAAAGUCUAGCCAUUAGGAAUGAACUCUGUGAGGAGAAAGGAAGCUUUAUUUAGGAAUUGUGUGAGAGAAAAGAGAGGUACAAGGAAAAAUACAUUUCGAAGAUCUAACGACCACCACUUAUCUUAUCUCAAGACGGUAUUCAACUUUGUCAAAAUCCUAACAUUAAAGGAAAAAGGUAAACAAGGAAAAGGUCUUAAAAAAAAGAUUUAUUUAUUUUAUGUAUAUGAGUACACUGUAGCUGUACACAUGGUUGUGAGCCUUCAUGUGGUUGUUGGGAAUUGUUGGGAAUUUAGGACUUCUGCUUGCUCCCAUCAACUCCGCUCACUCAGUCAACUCCACUCUCUCAGUCCCUGCUCGCUCUGGCCCAAAGAUUUAUUUAUUAUUAUAAAUAAGCACAGUGUAGCUGUCUUCAGACACACUAGAGGAGGGUGUCAGAUCUCAUUACGGGUGGUUGUGAGCCACAUUGUGGUUGCUGGGAUUUGAACUCUGGACCUUCGGAAGAGCAGUCGGGUGCUCUUACCCACUGAGCCAUUUCACCAGCCCGAAAAGAUCUUUUUUUAAGCCCAUAUAUUCCCUUCUCAUCUGUGAUAUCUAAUACAUUAGUGGCCCUCCACUGAAGUCAUUUGGACCAAGAGCUAUCGUAAAACACUUUUAAUUUCCACAAGCCAUGUAGUCUUCUUUAUUACACAAAACAAAUAAGAGCAGCCGUGAGCAUGCAUGAGCUAAGAGCAGUCAGAUUUAUUGAUCAUAGCAAGUAAUUACAGGUAGCAAUAGUCAAGUGAUAGACAAGGACCUGUCAUAGGGACAGAAGACCCCUAAGCUAGAGAAACUUAACUGAGGCCACUUAGUGAAGCCGUUGUGCUUAAUUCACUAAGAGGGAUUGUUGUCUAUGAAUAAACACAAUACAACAAGCACUCUAGGGACUGGAGAGAUGGCUCAGCAGUUAAGAGCACUGACUGCUCUUCUGAAGGUCCUGAGUUCAAUUCCCAGCAACCACAUGGUGGCUCACAACCAUCCAUAACAAGAUCUGGCGCCCUCUUCUGGAGUGUCUGAAGACAGCUACAGUGUACUUAUAUAUAAUAAAUAAAUAAAUCUAAAAAAAAACAAAAAAAAACAAAAACAAGCACUCUACCUUGCUUAGGCAGCCAUCUUUAAAUUACAUGUAAAUUCCUCCCUUGUUUGCAGAAUCAUUUUGUAGAAAUCUUCAUUCCUGUAUAUAAUCUGUAUGAAUGAGAUACAUUAGUGGGACACUGAUAGCUAACAUUGGAAGCAAUGUUGCAAUGGCUUGGAUACAGGUCUUCACUACACACUUGAAAGCCGGUUUGGUAGCUAGAAUACUGCCCUCAGAGCACCCAUGUAGUUUGUUUAAUUGCACCCAUAGAAGUUCUGUAGGAUGAGGCAGCUUGUCUUACAGAAUGCUCACCCACCCUCCUCAUACCCUUUCCCACGGCUGCCAACCAUCAUCUAGUGUUUCAUAAGAGUUGGAAAAUAAGGAAGACCAUUGGGAAGAUAUGAACCUUUGCUGUCGCCCAUCUAAUAGCUGCUGGCCACCUCUGGAUGGUUGAGGGAGGCCAAAGCCUAUUUGCUAAGGUGCUGAUUGAGACUCUGGAACACCAGUUCCUUCCCUUAAUAUAAAACCAACUUGGAGCCAAGUCAUUUAAGACCUUUUGAAAACUGACUCUAAAAUAGCGUGUGAUAUCUUGAGGAAGAAAAUAAACCAUGAUUUAGUAAAUGAGAUGAUGCACGGGGAAAGGGCAGCCUUAUAUGGUGUUCUUACAGAGAGAGAGAGGGCAUGGUUGGUAAAGCGAGGCC
ensembl:processed_transcript uncharacterized LOC110312105